rnacentral:rRNA from 1 species
AGAGUUUGAUCAUGGCUCAGAUUGAACGCUGGCGGCAUGCCUUACACAUGCAAGUCGAACGGUAACAGGUCUUUCGGGAUGCUGACGAGUGGCGAACGGGUGAGUAAUACAUCGGAACGUGCCCAGUAAUGGGGGAUAGCUCGGCGAAAGCCGGAUUAAUACCGCAUACGCCCUGAGGGGGAAAGUGGGGGACCGCAAGGCCUCACGUUAUUGGAGCGGCCGAUGGCUGAUUAGCUAGUUGGUAGGGUAAAGGCCUACCAAGGCAACGAUCAGUAGCUGGUCUGAGAGGACGAUCAGCCACACUGGGACUGAGACACGGCCCAGACUCCUACGGGAGGCAGCAGUGGGGAAUUUUGGACAAUGGGCGAAAGCCUGAUCCAGCCAUGCCGCGUGUGUGAAGAAGGCCUUCGGGUUGUAAAGCACUUUAAGCGAGGAGGAAGGUUCGUCACCUAAUACGUGACGGAAUUGACGUUACUCGCAGAAUAAGCACCGGCUAACUCUGUGCCAGCAGCCGCGGUAAUACAGAGGGUGCAAGCGUUAAUCGGAAUUACUGGGCGUAAAGCGCGCGUAGGCGGUUGCGUAAGUUGGAUGUGAAAUCCCCGGGCUUAACCUGGGCACUGCAUUCAAAACUGCACGGCUAGAGUAUUGGAGAGGAAGGUAGAAUUCCAGGUGUAGCGGUGAAAUGCGUAGAGAUCUGGAGGAAUACCGAUGGCGAAGGCAG